GGACUUGAUUAUCAAGAGAUAUUCUCUCUAUUAACCAGAAUAGAAAUUGUUAGGUUAUUUAUUGCUUUGGCUACACAAAAUAGUUGGAAGUUUCACCAAAUGGACCCAGUCACUCAUGGAAGAAGUAAGCAAUAGAUACAUGAGUCCACUUCCUCCUAGAUUAAGUGAAUAAAAAUCAAGUCCAGCAAGUUUAGUGCAAGUCAGAGAACUAGGUUGCAGAUAUUCUUACCAAACUUUUGAAAUUUGGCUCAUUCAUCAAGCUUAAGUGUACGAUGGGAAUGGCAAGGUUGACUGAAUCAGGAUUAAGUGGGAUGUUGAAGUUAAUCCAGAUUCCUAGUUUAUUUUCAUCUUUUAGGAUUAAGUUUAUUUAGUAGAUUAAGUUUAUCAUUAUUUCUUAUCUUUAUCUAGUUUAUAAAGUCUAUCGAGUUGAUGAUGCCUAUCUUUCACAUAUUUAUUUUCAAUUGUUCUUAUCAAUUGGA
rnacentral:lncRNA from 1 species